rnacentral:rRNA from 1 species
UACGAAGGGGGCUAGCGUUGCUCGGAAUUACUGGGCGUAAAGGGCGCGUAGGCGGAUAGUUUAGUCAGAGGUGAAAGCCCAGGGCUCAACCCUGGAAUUGCCUUUGAUACUGGCUAUCUUGAGUUCGGGAGAGGUGAGUGGAACUCCGAGUGUAGAGGUGAAAUUCGUAGAUAUUCGGAAGAACACCAGUGGCGAAGGCGACUCACUGGCCCGAUACUGACGCUGAGGCGCGAAAGCGUGGGGAGCAACAGGAUUAAGAUGAC